rnacentral:lncRNA from 1 species
AGCGCUGGAAAUGCGAGACCGACAGCUGGUUUAUUUUUGGGUCAGUGACAGUGUGUCAAUGGCCGCAGAUGCGUCGGAAAGGAAGGCUCUGAGAUACCAACAGACCCUGCUGUAUGGGGAAUACCAUGAGCACCCGGGUGGGUCUGGCCGGAGAGAGGCCACCCGACUUCUAACAGAGAGACAAUGGAAGAAACACCACCAUCAUCACCAUCACCAUGGCCACCAUCCACAGCAUCACCGUGGCCACCAUCACCACGGGCACCACCAUGGCCACCACCAUGGUCACACACAUGGAUACGGGCACCACAGCAGGCACAGGGGUCGGCAUCACUCAGACGAGGUGGGACAUGCACAAAUGGCUACAGAGCAAGGCAACCCUUUGUCUAUAAAGAAACGUCGCUCCUACUCAAAGUGCAGAGACUGUGUAGCACGGGUACAGAGGUUCCUGGUCGCCAAGCUGGGAGAGGACUGGAUCUUUCUGGUGCUGCUGGGCAUCUCAAUGGCACUGGUCAGCUGGACCAUGGACUACACCAGUGCCAAAAGUCUACAAUUGUAUAAGUGGAUUCACUGGGAGCUGAGGGGUAAUGUCCUGCUCCAGUACCUGGCUUGGGUCAGCUAUCCCAUGGCGCUCAUCAUGUUCGCCUCCUUCUUCUGCCACCUGGUCGCCCCACAAGCCAUCGGCUCUGGUAUUCCUGAGCUGAAGACCAUUCUCAGAGGGGUCGUGUUGAAGGAGUAUCUGACUGUCAGGGCUUUUACUGCCAAGGUCAUUGGUCUGACUGCAGGUCUGGGCAGUGGGAUGCCAGUAGGGAAAGAGGGCCCAUUUGUUCAUAUCGCCAGCAUCUGUGCUGCUGUGCUGAGCAAGUGUAUGACGUUCUUCUCGGGAGUCCAUCAGAGCCCAUACUGCUACACAGACAUCCUUACAGUUGGCUGUGCGGUUGGGGUGGGUUGCUGUUUCGGUACCCCUCUUGGAGGGGUGCUGUUCAGUAUCGAGGUGACGUCCACUUACUUUGCUGUGAGGAACUACUGGAGAGGCUAUUUCGCCGCCACCUUCAGUGCCUUCAUAUUCAGAGUGCUCUCCGUGUUCAACAAAGAUGCAGUCACCAUCACUGCUCUCUUCCGCACCAAGUUCCGCAUGGACUUCCCCUUUGACCUCCAGGAGCUGCCUGCAUUUGCCAUCAUCGGGAUCUCCUGCGGCUUCCUGGGGGCCUUCUUCGUCUGGCUGAACCGCCAGGUGGUGCUGUUCAUGAGGAAACCCAACGCCAUGACACGCUUCCUCACCAGACACCGACUGAUUUUCCCCGGUGUUGUGACCUUAGUGAUAGCCAGCUUGACCUUUCCCCCUGGAUUUGGACAGUUCAUGGCUGGAGAGCUGAUGCCAAGAGAAUGCAUCAACUCCCUGUUUGACAACUUCACCUGGACCAAAAUCUGGGGCUCCCCCCCUCCCCCCAGCCUGGGGCGCUCCUCUGCCUGGCUGCACCCCGACGUCAGCGUCUUUGUCAUCCUCCUCCUCUUCUUCGUCAUGAAGUUUUGGAUGUCUGCUGUUUCGACCACGAUGCCCAUCCCUUCUGGAGCCUUCAUGCCUGUCUUCAUACUCGGUAAACAGAACCUCUUUUGCCUCGUGAGAUUCAUGGCUGCCCUCUUCCCCGAUGGGAUUCUGUUUGAUGGAAUCUUGUAUCGCAUCAUCCCAGGAGGGUACGCAGUCAUUGGAGCGGCGGCACUGACCGGGGCGGUGACCCACACGGUGUCCACGGCGGUUAUCUGCUUUGAGCUGACGGGCCAGAUCUCCCACAUCCUGCCCAUGAUGGUGGCCGUGAUCCUGGCUAACAUGGUGGCCCAGGGCCUGCAGCCCUCGCUCUACGACUCCAUCAUCCAGAUCAAGAAACUGCCUUACCUCCCUGAGCUGGGCUUUGGACACAUCAGCCAGUAUAACAUCUUUGUGGAGGACAUCAUGGUUAGGAAAGUGAAGUUUCUCUCAUUACAGUCCACCUACAGGGAGUUGAUACACCUCCUGGAUUCCACUUCUCUCAAAACGAUACCACUAGUGGAUUCAACAGACUCUAUGAUCCUUUUGGGCUCCAUCGAGCGGUCAGAGCUCCACGCUCUCUGUGAUUGGUGGCUCUCUGCAGAGAGGCGGAUCCUCAGGCAGGAACAGCGUUUGCAGGAACAGAACCAGUAUGCCAAAGACAGCUGGGAAUCCUUUGCCUUUGUGGAUGAAGAUGAUGAGGAGAGUGGAGAUAAGAGUACCCCAGUUCAGGAAGAGAGCAAUGGCCCCCUGCCAUCUCCUAAACCACAGGAGCCCUUGUCCAAUCACACAGCUCCUGGUGAGUUGAACCAUCUGCGUGGAACAAUGCUUCUAUGGGUGCCUGGCAACACCAAUUACAGUGUUGCGUUUCUUGACAUUGUGUUUGAUUGGCUGGAGCAGAUCAAAGAAUGGGAGGAGGCUGAGAUGGACAAGCCAAUGGAAAUUGAUCAGAUCCGAAUAGAUCCCUCCCCUUUCCAGCUAGUGGAGAGGACAUCAUUACACAAGACCCACACUCUCUUCUCAUUACUGGGCCUGAGUCAUGCCUAUGUCACCAGUAUCGGAAAACUGGUGGGUGUUGUUGCACUUAAAGAGCUGCAAAAGGCCAUCGAGGGCUCCACCCGUAGCGGGGUCCGGCUACGUCCCCCUCUGGCCAGCUUCAGCAACACCAGCCGAAAGUCAUCCAAACCCCAGGCAACCUCCGCUCCCUCCUCCCCGACCACCCCCUCCUCCCCUCUCUCCCAGGCUCCCAUCUUCCCCCAUGCCACUGCCCCAAAGGCGCAUUUUAGUUUUACACUGCGAAACAUUGUAAAACAUUACCCUUUGCAUGCCCUAAUAAACUAA